GACGAACCGUGCGAACGUUGUUCGGAAUCACUGGGCUUAAAGGGCGCGUAGGCGGGCUGUCAAGUCUGGGGUGAAAUGCCACGGCUCAACCGUGGAACUGCCUUAGAUACUGACGGCCUCGAGGAAGGUAGGGGCAUGCGGAACUGUAGGUGGAGCGGUGAAAUGCGUUGAUAUCUACAGGAACUCCGGUGGCGAAAGCGGCGUGCUGGACCUUUUCUGACGCUGAGGCGCGAAAGCUAGGGGAGCAAAC
rnacentral:rRNA from 1 species